GUUCUCACGGACACACUGAAAGGUGGCUCAAUGGCCCAAAAAGGAAGAGAAAGAAUAGUCAGUGUUCGUUGAAGAGCAUGUCAGAAUCGGACGCAGACGCAGAGAGCGAGUCCGAUGUAGCCGUGAUGAAGAGAAACGUUGCAGAUGAGUAGAGAAGAGAUCGAUAGACGAAGGAUAAAAACCGUCGCGUUCCCGUUCUCGACGACUCCGGGCGGUGAAGUCGUGAGGUUUGGCUCGGGGUAAAGCGUAAAGAUAAACGCCUUGAUGACUCGAUGCUGCUCAAGAGUUCAAGAGGCGUCGAAAGUCACUGUCCUGCCCAGACGCUGGUGUAUGGAGGGUAGGGAGGCAGGGAAAUGCAGCGGGCGCUCGACACGAUGAGACAGCUGUAGCAUAACUGUGUGAAAGGGUCCGUGUUUAUUCUGCGUCCUGGAUGCAGCGCUAGAUCCGGCUUCAAGUGUUGGCCGAUAAAAAUAGUCUGUAUGUACUAUAUAUAUAUGUGUGUGUGUGUGUGUGUGUGUGUGUGUGUGUGUGUGUGUCAUACAAAUCUGGCAAAAAAAUUGCCCCAAAUGACAAGAUUAACAUUACGGACUCCAAAAAUCUAUCUAUCUUUUUUUUUUUUUUUUUUUUUUUUCAAUUUGAGAAAGAAAAAAAAAAACUACUUUGUUUAAAAAAAAAAAAAAAAA
ensembl:lncRNA